AUUGAACGCUGGCGGCAGGCCUAACACAUGCAAGUCGAGCGGUAGCACAGAGAGCUUGCUCUCGGGUGACGAGCGGCGGACGGGUGAGUAAUGUCUGGGAAACUGCCUGAUGGAGGGGGAUAACUACUGGAAACGGUAGCUAAUACCGCAUAACGUCGCAAGACCAAAGAGGGGGACCUUCGGGCCUCUUGCCAUCAGAUGUGCCCAGAUGGGAUUAGCUAGUAGGUGGGGUAACGGCUCACCUAGGCGACGAUCCCUAGCUGGUCUGAGAGGAUGACCAGCCACACUGGAACUGAGACACGGUCCAGACUCCUACGGGAGGCAGCAGUGGGGAAUAUUGCACAAUGGGCGCAAGCCUGAUGCAGCCAUGCCGCGUGUAUGAAGAAGGCCUUCGGGUUAUAAAGUACUUUCAGCGGGGAGGAAGGUGUUGCGGUUAAUAACCGCAGCAAUUGACGUUACCCGCAGAAGAAGCACCGGCUAACUCCGUGCCAGCCGCCGCCGUAAGAC
rnacentral:rRNA from 1 species